CCAGCCCUUUCCUUAUUUCUUAUAGAAACAGACAGAAACCGAGAGACAGAAAAUUGUGUCUGAAUUUCAGCAACUGCAGCAGUUCCUGGAGGAACAAGAGCGAUUCCUGCUGGCCCAGCUGGAAAAGCUGGACGAGGAGAUUGUGAAGAUACAGAAUGAAAAUGUCAGUAAACUCUCAGAGGAGAUUUCCCAUCUCAGUGAGCUGAUCAGUGAGCUGGAGGGGAAGUGUCAGAAGCCAGCAAGUGAAUUCCUGCAGGAUGUCAGAAGCACCUUGAGUAGGUGUGAGAAGGGGAAGUUCCAGCAGCCAAAGGAGAUUUCUCCUGAACUGGAAGAGCAAGUCAGCAAUUUCUCUCAGAAAACUAUUGUGCUAUCAGAGACUCUGAGGAAGUUCAAAGGUACCUAAAAUGGAUCUAGUAAUAGAAAUUGGGAUGAACCUCUGAGACUGUGGGAAGAGAAUGGUGCUGGUCAAUUGGUUCACACUUAGAUGAUGCUUCUAGUUAAUUGUUGGGUGUGAAUGCCAGACACUUGGGUCCAAGACACUCAGGUUGAUUAAUUCAACCAUGCCUUUCAUUUACAAUUACAAAGAAAGAAAUGACUCAGACUUUAAUGUCAGAGGGGACUAUCAUGAUCCAUCUACUCUGACCUCCUGCACAUUGCAGGCCACAGAACCUCCCCACCCACUCCUGCAAUUUACCCCUGAACUCUGUCUGAAUUACUGACAUCCUCAAAUACUGAUUUACAGACUUCAAGUUACAGAGAGUCCACCAUUUAUUGGAGUUUAACAUCUGUAAAUGAUACAUGCCCCAUAUGGCAGAGGAAGGCAAAAACAAACAGGGUCUCUGUCAAUUUGAUUUGCUGGAAAAUUCCUUCCCUAUCCCAAAUAUGGUGGUCAGUUGGACAUUGAGCAUUUCAGCAAGACCCAACAGCCAGACCCCUGGGAAAGAUUUCUCUCUAACUCAGAGCCCUCCACGUCUAGUGCCACAUCACUAGCCAUUGGGAUAUUUGCUACUAGCCAUCGCAUAUAGAAAGAAGUGCUGGCCAGUUCCCUUCUCCCGGGGCAUAGGUGGGUCAUGGGGGAUUUCUCCUAUGAUGCUCUGAUUACCCCUUACAAUGUCUGACAUAUUAUACAUGUACAAAUUGCAUAUUUACUAGUUCUUUUCCAAUCACCUUUGAGUGAUAUGAAUAUUAAGUAUCUUAUAUAGGUUCAUGCAUGUGUAGUGUAUGACAUUUCCUUAGCAGGGCUUUUUUUUGAUGUUUUCAUGUUCUUGUUCUCAUCUCUGAUUGGUUUAUUACCACUGUUUAUGCACACGUCACUUUGA